rnacentral:lncRNA from 1 species
CUUGACCGGAGCUAAAACCAACAAAGGCAGAUUCUGGUGGGAGCUGCGGAAGCGCCGGGCACUGAGUCAACAAGCGGGUCUCAUUGAAAUGCAAAUGGCGCGGCCGGGCCAGGCGCGCCACCGCCCGCCCCUUAACUUCUCACCCCCGCGCCGCGCCGCUGAAUGGGCCAUUGACGCGCGCCUGCCCGGCCGUCCGCGGGAGCCCCAGUGCUUGCGAGCUUGUGUCGUCGUUGGCAUCCCUGUAAAUCAUCAUCACAUCAUCGUCAUCACCAUCACCUCCCUUCCAGACCUAAGGAGGUUUAAAGUUAACGCAUGCACCGUUAAAACUCCUACAGGACUUCAAAGGGGGAGUAUAGAUACAGCACCUGUUUUUCACCCAGAGGACUCCCCGGUUCAAAGUCCAAGUGGUUCACACCCAUGGCUCUGGGGCCACAACUAGUCCAUGGGAUGCUAUUGUGCAUAUUAGAAACAUAUAGCCCAUCCUCCAGGCAGAUGAAGCCCAUGCCUGGCACCAGAACACCAGGCUUGCCCAGCAAAUAGC